rnacentral:rRNA from 1 species
UACGUAGGGUGCAAGCGUUGUCCGGAAUUAUUGGGCGUAAAGAGCUCGUAGGCGGCUUGUCACGUCGACUGUGAAAACCCGGGGCUCAACUCCGGGCCUGCAGUCGAUACGGGCUGGCUUGAGUGCGGUAGGGGAGACUGGAAUUCCUGGUGUAGCGGUGAAAUGCGCAGAUAUCAGGAGGAACACCGGUGGCGAAGGCGGUUCUCUGGGCAUUACCUGACGCUGAGGAGCGAAAGUGUGGGGGAGCGAACAGG